rnacentral:lncRNA from 1 species
AAAAGCUUUUCACCAAAGAAGCUACAAAGGAAAGCUAGCAUUCUUUUCUUUAAGUUAUCCUUGCAGCCUGGAUGGGGGUGUGGAGGUGAGAGGUGGGGGAGGUGACCAGCUGAAUGACUCUAGGCAAACUACUUAGAUAGUUCUAGCCAAUUACUAGAGUUCUAGGCAACAGGAUGGAAGAGAAAGUCUACAGGACAGAUUUGCAAGAUAAUUUUGCUCUCUAUCAAAGGAUCAAUUUCAAGUGGUACCCUCCCUUCUUUUCUUGCUUUGACUAUGGGUAUGAUGUCCAGAACUACUGCAGGCAUUUAUCAACCAUAAGGUGAUGAGCAAAUUAGAAGCUGAAUCUUAUCCACAAUGGCCCUGGCAUCUUCAUGCUGAAGAAACACUGGCAGCACCCAUAUAUCAGGCUUCUUGCUGGUUGUACUGUGUGCCCCUGAUAUUUUCUUUUCUUUUUUUUUUUUUUUGCCUAACUGCAUGUAAGAAGGCUGACUCCAGCAGAGAAAAGCCUGUUAUUCAGAAGCUGGCUAAGGAACCACCUUACAUAAAUCUGAACUAUUCCAUAAUCUGCCACUUGG